rnacentral:ncRNA from 2 species
GUGUUCGUAGAAAGGAGAGACGGUUGGCAUCUCCCCUGACAGGGACGGGAACAGUCUUCGGACUUUCCUCUAGCACAUUGCGGUUAAGGCUACCCACUUCGGUGGAUCUUACCCAAUUUUUUUU